GACGAACGCUGGCGGCGUGCUUAACACAUGCAAGUCGAACGAUGAACCGGUUUCGGCCGGGGAUUAGUGGCGAACGGGUGAGUAACACGUGGGCAAUCUGCCCUGCACUCUGGGAUAAGCCCGGGAAACUGGGUCUAAUACCUGAUACGACACUCCGAGGCAUCUUGGGGUGUGGAAAGUUCCGGCGGUGCAGGAUGAGCCCGCGGCCUAUCAGCUUGUUGGUGGGGUAAUGGCCUACCAAGGCGACGACGGGUAGCCGGCCUGAGAGGGUGACCGGCCACACUGGGACUGAGACACGGCCCAGACUCCUACGGGAGGCAGCAGUGGGGAAUAUUGCACAAUGGGCGAAAGCCUGAUGCAGCGACGCCGCGUGAGGGAUGACGGCCUUCGGGUUGUAAACCUCUUUCAGCAGGGAAGAAGCGAAAGUGACGGUACCUGCAGAAGAAGCACCGGCUAACUACGUG
rnacentral:rRNA from 1 species